UGGCUAUUAAAAACACCGCAUUUGCAACUUUGUCGGUUGAACCGAGCCAAAGCUGUGGUUGCAGGGCACGCCAGCAGCUUUCCACGGUCGGAGGUGCAGAGGUAGCAAUCCCUCGUGCGACCCUGCUGCGCUCCCGGAGCGCGGGAGCAUUUACCAUUGCAGCUCCUGCAGAGCCGUCCGCACCAGCCGCCGCGUUACAAACUUGCCCUCGCUGAGGAUUUGGGAAACUGUUCUAGUUUUAAAAGAAAAAUUCCUCUGUUCCUAUAAAAGGAAACCACAUGAGCGCGGCUGGAAUUGAAGGAGCCUUUGAAACAAAACCUCUGAGCGGGAGUUUGUCACGUAGCGGAUUGACAGCCGCCUGCAGAGAGCGGCGCGGGUGAUAAAUGGCCGUGGGAGAGCGGAGGCCGGCGCUUCCUCUGGCUCUGAAGAGUGACAAAAAGGGGCCGCAAGCAGGGCAGAGCUCGUGGCGUUGGCGGACCUGCUUCCGCCGAAGGAGAGGCGAGAGGAAAGCGAGUGCCGAGGAAAUGGCCAGGGAAGCUGGAUAAACCCGAUAGCUCGGUGGAGCUGCUCGCGCCUGCGGAGGCUGCAGUCUGCUCGGCGGGGGGGUCUCUGAGCAUGACUGAAGACUCAAGAGCUGCUUCUUUCCAGCCACCCAGGUGUGGGGUUAUUUUUUACCUCCGGACCCUGCAGCCUCCCGGAUCAGGACACUCCUGCACCGGUGGGCGCCGUUCCCGGGAUGAGACGUGUUCUACAAACAGCGUCGGUGCUUCCAGGCUCCCUGGUGCCUCGCCGGGGGAGAUGUGGGGUCCGCGAGGGCCCCGAGGAUGCCGGCCAGCGCACACACACGAGGGUCCUGCACUACAGAGGCUCUGUGCAUCGUCCGCUGUCCCGAAGUACACACGAGCAUCUCCUUUCCGAGGCAGGCCCCGCUGCUGCCACCCCGGUCCGUCCUGCGCGGGACGCGAGCCCGCCGCGGCGUCCGGCAGAGCAGAGCAGCUCCAGCUCCUCCCCGGGCUCGGCAGCCCCACUGCCCCGUCCCACCGACCUCCCGGAGACGGGUCUCUGCUCCUGGCCGGCGCCGCUGCGGGCACCAGCCUGGUGACGGUCUGGUGUUAGAAAAUCGGAGGAAGUGUCCUUUCCAGACCUCCACCCUGUCACCUGGACGAGCCGGCGGGUCCUCCCACGUGACAAACGCCCUGCAAAUGGCCGUCCGGAGACCUGGCUCCACGCGUGCCACGUCCGGCCUCUCCUUCUUCAGCGCUUGGUUCACAGUGAAGCGAUCGCCACAAAUUUUAGCGCUAAGACAGCGUCGAGGCAGAAAUCUGUGUCCUUAAGGGUAUUGAGGAUGAUGGAUGCUCUUCAGUGUCCCAAACUCUCCCGGCCCUCCCAGCUCUGGUCUCAUUCCAGAAAUAUAAUUGGGAAAAUGUCUCCCAGCCUCAGGUGUUCAUUCUGAAAGGCGAACAAAGAAGAAAGUGAGUUUUGGGCUUUUCAUGAUUUUUUAUUUUUUGAGUCACGAAGCACAAAGGAGCGUUAGUAUCCGAGUGAGCCCCGUCCUCUGCGGCCCCUCCGCCCGUGACCGGCUCCCGGCCCGGUUACCAGCACCCAAACCACGUGAACGCCCGGCACGUUGCGGGACGGCGGCGCAACUAGGGCAUCCCAAAAAAAGCCACCUCGGGCCACGGCACGCGUCGCGCCCGGAGGUGGCGCGAGGGGAAGCGCCUGUACUAACCGGCGUCCAUCACCAGCGGCCCCCUCCCACGGCGCUGGCCUGGAAACCCUCCUGCCGCGCCCCUGCGGCGCUGAGCACCCGCUUCCCCUGAGCCGACUGCCCCAGUUCCUCCCGCAGCUUUCUCGCCCUGCCUAACAGCUCUGGAGCAGGGGGUCACGAGCAGAUGGGGAGACAUGAGGCUGCCUGCAAAACCGAGGGGGGUUUGCUCCUUCCCGAUGACAUCAUGCAAGUGUGAAGGAUUGCAAUAUGUCUCUCUGUGCUCAGCGCGAUCCUUCUGGCUGCUGGGUCUUCAAUUCCUCGUGCCCCGAGUGAGCUGAAGCAGCCUGGCCUGCGCACUAGAAACCGAGAGAAACAGAAAAAGUCCUGAAACCGAGAGAAACGAAAGUCCCAGCGCACGCCUUCGGGGC